rnacentral:rRNA from 1 species
AUCGGGGCAGGGUGAGUCGACCCCUAAGGCGAGGCCGAAAGGCGUAGUCGAUGGGAAACGGGUUAAUAUUCCCGUACUUGGUGUUACUGCGAAGGGGGGACGGAGAAGGCUAUGUUGGCCGGGCGACGGUUGUCCCGGUUUAAGCGUGUAGGCUGGUUUUCCAGGCAAAUCCGGAAAAUCAAGGCUGAGGCGUGACGACGAGGCACUACGGUGCUGAAGCAACAAAUGCCCUGCUUCCAGGAAAAGCCUCUAAGCAUCAGGUAACAUCAAAUCGUACCCCAAACCGACACAGGUGGUCAGGUAGAGAAUACCAAGGCGCUUGAGAGAACUCGGGUGAAGGAACUAGGCAAAAUGGUGCCGUAACUUCGGGAGAAGGCACGCUGACAUGUAGGUGAAGUGAUUUACUCAUGGAGCUGAAGUCAGUCGAAGAUACCAGCUGGCUGCAACUGUUUAUUAAAAACACAGCACUGUGCAAACACGAAAGUGGACGUAUACGGUGUGACGCCUGCCCGGUGCCGGAAGGUUAAUUGAUGGGGUCAGCGCAAGCGAAGCUCCUGAUCGAAGCCCCGGUAAACGGCGGCCGUAACUAUAACGGUCCUAAGGUAGCGAAAUUCCUUGUCGGGUAAGUUCCGACCUGCACGAAUGGCGUAAUGAUGGCCAGGCUGUCUCCACCCGAGACUCAGUGAAAUUGAACUCGCUGUGAAGAUGCAGUGUACCCGCGGCAAGACGGAAAGACCCCGUGAACCUUUACUAUAGCUUGACACUGAACAUUGAGCCUUGAUGUGUAGGAUAGGUGGGAGGCUUUGAAGCGUGGACGCCAGUCUGCGUGGAGCCGACCUUGAAAUACCACCCUUUAAUGUUUGAUGUUCUAACGUGGACCCGUAAUCCGGGUUGCGGACAGUGUCUGGUGGGUAGUUUGACUGGGGCGGUCUCCUCCUAAAGAGUAACGGAGGAGCACGAAGGUUGGCUAAUCCUGGUCGGACAUCAGGAGGUUAGUGCAAUGGCAUAAGCCAGCUUGACUGCGAGCGUGACGGCGCGAGCAGGUGCGAAAGCAGGUCAUAGUGAUCCGGUGGUUCUGAAUGGAAGGGCCAUCGCUCAACGGAUAAAAGGUACUCCGGGGAUAACAGGCUGAUACCGCCCAAGAGUUCAUAUCGACGGCGGUGUUUGGCACCUCGAUGUCGGCUCAUCACAUCCUGGGGCUGAAGUAGGUCCCAAGGGUAUGGCUGUUCGCCAUUUAAAGUGGUACGCGAGCUGGGUUUAGAACGUCGUGAGACAGUUCGGUCCCUAUCUGCCGUGGGCGCUGGAGAACUGAGGGGGGCUGCUCCUAGUACGAGAGGACCGGAGUGGACGCAUCACUGGUGUUCGGGUUGUCAUGCCAAUGGCACUGCCCGGUAGCUAAAUGCGGAAGAGAUAAGUGCUGAAAGCAUCUAAGCACGAAACUUGCCCCGA